GUACUUAGGGUAGACCCACUGAAAUCAGUGGACUUAAGUCCACUGAUUUCACUGGGUCUGCUUUGAAUAUGAC